AAGAUUAUUAGUCCAUGCUCGCAAGAGUGAACUAGCUAACUGAAAUCUUACUAUUGCUUCCGGGCAUAGAGCACUAGAAUAACUAGGUUUAGCACAAAAAGAUAAGGAUUGGGAUAAUAAUGAUAUUACCUUUCUAUUAGUGUUGUCAAAAAUUGGUGCCAGAAGACUCGGUAAGGCCAAAAACGCAAACGUUAAUCAUCUUAAACAGGCGUAAAGGGUUUGUAGGCGGCUUUAACAGCUUAAUCAGAGAUACUCUGUUCUUUAAAUUUUUAAAGGUUAACAACAGAACCAUAAUAUAAGGUAAUUGUGAAAAUGUAUCUUCAACUAAAGUAUAUAAAAAUAGAUUAAGUACGAAUUAAAGCUAGAAUCUAGUAGAGGUUAGAUAAUGUAAUGCUUAAAAGAGGAGUUCAAUCCAUAGAAAUUUAGCAGAACUCUAAUGGCGAAAGCUCUUUCUCCAAUACAGAUUUGACGCUGAGAAACGAAGGUGAGGAAAGGAAACAGGAUUAGAUACCCCAUUACCCUCUCUGUCAACGAUGAAUGGUAAUAUAAUUAGUAAGGAAUAAAAGCCUAGUACUAGUUUUAAUGUUAACACGUUAACCAUUCCGCCUUGUGAGUACGAUUGCAAAAUUGAAAACAAAACAAUUAGUCAGUUUUGGAGCA
rnacentral:rRNA from 1 species